CCGGCGGGAAAUCAUCUCAGCAGCGGAGCACUUCUCCAUGAUCCGUGCCUCCCGCAACAAGUCAGGUGCCGCCUUUGGUGUGGCUCCUGCUCUGCCCGGCCAGGUGACCAUCCGUGUGCGGGUGCCCUACCGCGUGGUGGGGCUGGUGGUGGGCCCCAAAGGGGCAACCAUCAAGCGCAUCCAGCAGCAAACCAACACAUACAUUAUCACACCAAGCCGUGACCGCGACCCCGUGUUCGAGAUCACGGGUGCCCCAGGCAACGUGGAGCGUGCGAGAGAGAAAGAGAAGAAAAAGAGAAACCGAGGGGUUUAAAAGAAAAGAAUACUACAAAAUAAUAAUUAUUAAUAAUAAUAAUUCAAAUUUAUUUCAUAUAAUCCUAGAGAUGGAAAGAAACAAUUACUAGUUACUUAGUAGACAAUAUUAAGAUAGCUUAAAGUUUAGUAGCAU
rnacentral:lncRNA from 1 species